rnacentral:rRNA from 1 species
CUACGGGUCGCUCCAGUGAGGAAUAUUGCACAAUGGGGGGAACCCUGAUGCAGCAACGCCGCGUGGAGGAUGACGCAUUUCGGUGUGUAAACUCCUUUUAUAUGUCAAGAAAAUGACGGUAGCAUAUGAAUAAGCACCGGCUAACUCCGUGCCAGCAGCCGCGGUAAUACGGAGGGUGCAAGCGUUACUCGGAAUCACUGGGCGUAAAGGACGCGUAGGCGGGAUAUCAAGUCAGGUGUGAAAUCCUACAGCUUAACUGUAGAACUGCACUUGAAACUGGUAACCUAGAGUAUGGGAGGGGGAGAUGGAAUUAGUGGUGUAGGGGUAAAAUCCGUAGAUAUCACUAGGAAUACCUAAAGCGAAGGCGAUCUCCUGGGACAUAACUGACGCUAAGGCGUGAAAGCGUGGGGAGCAAACAGGAUUAGAUACCCGCGUAGUC